AUGGGAGUGGGUUGCAAAAGAAGUAGGUAGCUUAACCUUCGGGAGGGCGCUUACCACUUUGUGAUUCAUGACUGGGGUGAAGUCGUAACAAGGUAACCGUAGGGGAACCUGCGGUUGGAUCACCUCCUU
rnacentral:rRNA from 1 species